GUUGUUUUGCCCUGUUUCUGUUUCUGUAAGAAUGAUAUUUGAAAGUUAUAAGUGAUAAGAUCAUGUUUUCCAUAUUUUUAAUACUUUGAAUAAAUAUACGUAUAUGUACUGUACACGGUUAUCGUACAGCAGAGAUAUUUUUAUAAAUGUAAUAGUGUUCAUAUUGAAACUAUUGUACAAGUGUGAAAACUAUACUUUAUUAUUGUAGUUUACAUCUGUUGUGCGGUAUAUGACGAUCAUGGAAGUGAGCAGUGUUUAGCCUCACGUUGAUGCACUAUACGUGUUAACGUGGGUUUUUGAGUAAUAAUAAAACCUUUGAAAUCAAACGAA